GCAAACUACGAAUAUUCAUGUUAAUCAAAGUUAAAGUUCAAUUUAAACUACUAAUUUAAAAUAUGAUUUGGAUAAUACACUAGGCAUUUAAUUGUUUGAAGAAGAAAUGGGGCGGCAACAGGCACGGUUUGUUAUCUACAAGUGGUUUUAAGAGAAAUGGUGGCUGGUGGGAAUUGGACUCGAAAUGGAGCCCAAGAGUGACGACAAAGGGCAAAGCAAGCCUGGCCUUGACCAGACAAAUACAAUUGGACCAGUAUUAGACCCAACAUUAAAGGUAAGCUUUUAAUGUCGCAAUACAUUUAUUAUAUCAACAAAAAAUUUAGGAAACAAUAUGCUAAAGAUACAUGGGCUAUAAUUGUGGCCAAAAAGUGAAAGAGAACAUGAUCCAUUCACAUAGAGCUUGUUUCCAAAACGAGCUGACUCAUCUGGGCCAAACACCAGGCCAGUUUUCCUAAACAGAGGACCUUCGGUGUCCAUACCUUUAUAGGGAAUGAUUUCAUUUUUUACAUAGAAAUUAGUUACCCAAUGUCUAAGGAUGCAAAAUAUUAGUCAACUAUGGUAAAUUAAUUUGUUUAAACAUACUGCUAAUACUAACAACAAGAGACGACACCUCAAACUCAUUCAUGAAUCACCCCAAAACUUAAAUACAUAAUCCUUUUAACAAUGCAAAAAUCUAAAAUAGUUUGACAUUGCUCUUUACAGUACAUACAGAGCCUAUCUUAAUAAGAUCAAAAGAGCUAACAAGGCAUUUACGCCUUUUAAAACUGUCAAAAACCAAUACACAAAAUGAAUCGAUCCAACUAUUUAUACAUGUAACUAAGCUAAUAGCGUAAAACAUUAGAUGUAGAAUACCUAAAUAAAUAUUAACCAAGAAACAACCUACACGAGGAAAUCUGGAAUUUAAAAAUUGGAUGAUCAAUUUUAUUACAACAAACGACUAAAUACAUGCUUCAAACAUCAUUUCCCAUUCAAGGGUUCAAGAGGUACCUCAAUAUCAAGAGCUAUGCACAACUUAAACUUAAUCUAUAUUCGAACCCAAAAACUAGAAAUCCAGCUGAGACGUUUCUAAGUUCUUGCUAAGGAAAAAUUAGAAGAAAACAAACUAACUCCCAAUGAAAUCGUGCAAAAAAUCCUUUAAAUCUUUUUUAGGGUUCGAAAAUCUCUAAUCCCCAACUGUCACGAAAAGCUCUAUUUUAUAAGCAUCUAAAAUUCCAUAUGCUAAAACAGAAUAAGGGAGUUAUUCCUUUCAGCCACAAAGGCAUCUUCUAACAAACUAGGACAGCUGGUUGUCCUUCAUUGGCUUCAGCAUUUUGUGCUAAUCCAAUAAUACUAGCUGCUCCUAUUCUAGAACUUUCCCACAUGGUCUUAUCUUAUUUGAUACUUGCUCACCCUUCAAACAAACCUUUUAAGUUUUUUUAUUGUUCAACUAACCCCUACAUGUUCUUAAUGACAUACAAACUAUAUCAUAAAGAAACAAACAACCAAAUAUCAAUAGAUUAAUCAAACAGCAAAUAACAAUGCUAAAACUGUGAAUAUUCGAAAACAUGAAAAAAAAAUCAAACCGCUAAUAUGAACCAAAUUAUAAUGAAACUCAUCAAUGUUCUUCUGACUAACAAGACGACUGAGUAAAAACUAAACCUAGACUAAUUAUACAUUAAUUAAACCAAACUAUUUAAAAGUUAAACUAAUUAAGCAUUUUUCACCAUAUUAAUAAAACAAGACCGCAAAGAUACAUAAAACUAGCAUAAUAAAACUAAACAAUUUUAAUAGUUAAACUAAUCAUACCGAUCAUCAUACUUAUCCAGUAAAUUAAAACAACAAAAAGAUAAUUAAAACUAAUAAUAAACUAAACUACUUUACGAGUUAAACUAAUUAACCGUGAGCUUAAUCAAAUUAACAAACCCUAACAUAGAACUUGGUUGAACAUGAUUACAAAUAAAACAAGCAAACUAAACUGAAAAAAAUAAGAAAGUACUGACUCGACCUAAAUAGAAGAGAAAGGAAGGGACAUUGGUAAUACUACCCAUCUUACUUGGAAGGAAAAGAGAGGGUAAUUUUGAUAGCCUACUCGACUCUGAUUGACCAUUCAAAGGCCUUUUCUUCAAGGAAUUCGGCCUUACAUGGGUUCCGACCGGAUCUCCUUGAAACAAAAGACUAAUGAGAUGGCCAAACAUAGGUGACCCCUCAAACUCGACUAUUGAACGAAAAACAGAUCCAAGGAUUCGAAGUGGUCUAGUUGUUUACUAAAUCUAUAUUUUUGGUUUUAUGGGGUAAUUUUGAGCAAUCACUAAUGGGGUUGAGAUUAGAGGGAUGUGGAGGUUAUGAGGGGUGGACAUGAGUUUGUUUUGGAGGAAUAAUGGUGAAUUAGGGUUUAAUUUCAGAUCUUGAAUUGGCAAGUUUGGGGGAGAUUUUGUCGAAGUUGAUGAUGGAUUAAUGUUUCAGAGUUGUGGGGAGUGUGGAUGGUGACUUUGGGGUUGUUUAAUGACUGGCCGCCGUCGUAGGACUAUUUCUAGUGUGCGGCAGCUAGUGGUGAGAGAAUAGAGAAUAGGGGCAGCUAGGGUUUGCAAUUUGGAGAGACAUAGGGAAAAUGGGGAGGGAUCUCUAAGUUUAUAGGUGUGUUUAGGACAGUCUUA
rnacentral:lncRNA from 1 species